rnacentral:rRNA from 1 species
GUACACUCCUGCGGGAGGCAGCAGUGGGGAAUAUUGGACAAUGGGCGCAAGCCUGAUCCAGCCAUGCCGCGUGAGUGAUGAAGGCCCUAGGGUUGUAAAGCUCUUUCACCGGUGAAGAUAAUGACGGUAACCGGAGAAGAAGCCCCGGCUAACUUCGUGCCAGCAGCCGCGGUAAUACGAAGGGGGCUAGCGUUGUUCGGAUUUACUGGGCGUAAAGCGCACGUAGGCGGACUAUUAAGUCAGGGGUGAAAUCCCGGGGCUCAACCCCGGAACUGCCUUUGAUACUGGUAGUCUUGAGUUCGAGAGAGGUGAGUGGAAUUCCGAGUGUAGAGGUGAAAUUCGUAGAUAUUCGGAGGAACACCAGUGGCGAAGGCGGCUCACUGGCUCGAUACUGACGCUGAGGUGCGAAAGCGUGGGGAGCAAACAGGAUUAGAUACCCCGGUAGUCCCA